rnacentral:rRNA from 1 species
AGUGGGGAAUAUUGCACAAUGGGCGAAAGCCUGAUGCAGCCAUGCCGCGUGUAUGAAGAAGGCCUUCGGGUUGUAAAGUACUUUCAGUUGUGAGGAAGGGGGUAGCGUUAAUAGCGCUAUCUCUUGACGUUAGCAACAGAAGAAGCACCGGCUAACUCCGUGCCAGCAGCCGCGGUAAUACGGAGGGUGCGAGCGUUAAUCGGAAUUACUGGGCGUAAAGCGCAUGCAGGUGGUUCAUUAAGUCAGAUGUGAAAGCCCGGGGCUCAACCUCGGAACUGCAUUUGAAACUGGUGAACUAGAGUGCUGUAGAGGGGGGUAGAAUUUCAGGUGUAGCGGUGAAAUGCGUAGAGAUCUGAAGGAAUACCAGUGGCGAAGGCGGCCCCCUGGACAGACACUGACACUCAGAUGCGAAAGCGUGGGGAGCAAACAGGAUUAGAUACCCUGGUAGUCCACGCCGUAAACGAUGUCUACUUGGAGGUUGUGGCCUUGAGCCGUGGCUUUCGGAGCUAACGCGUUAAGUAGACCGCCUGGGGAGUACGGUCACAAGAUUAAAACUCAAAUGAAUUGACGGGGGCCCGCACAAGCGGUGGAGCAUGUGGUUUAAUUCGAUGCAACGCGAAGAACCUUACCUACUCUUGACAUCCAGAGAAGCCAGCGGAGACGCAGGUGUGCCUUCGGGAACUCUGAGACAGGUGCUGCAUGGCUGUCGUCAGCUCGUGUUGUGAAAUGUUGGGUUAAGUCCCGCAACGAGCGCAACCCUUAUCCUUGUUUGCCAGCGAGUAAUGUCGGGAACUCCAGGGAGACUGCCGGUGAUAAACCGGAGGAAGGUGGGGACGACGUCAAGUCAUCAUGGCCCUUACGAGUAGGGCUACACACGUGCUACAAUGGCGCAUACAGAGGGCAGCAAGCUAGCGAUAGUGAGCGAAUCCCAAAAAGUGCGUCGUAGUCCGGAUUGGAGUCUGCAACUCGACUCCAUGAAGUCGGAAUCGCUAGUAAUCGUGAAUCAGAAUGUCAUGGUGAAUACGUUUCCCGGGCCUUGUACACACCGCCCGUCACACCCUGGGAGUGGGCUGCAAAAGAAGUGGGUAGUUUAACCUUACGGAGAGGACGCUCACCACUUUGUGGAUCAUGACUGGGGUG